rnacentral:tRNA from 1 species
GGGGGGCCGGCCUGGCUUCGGAACCGCGACUGGAAAUCGCGGGCGCGGGCAACCGCGCGAGGGUUCGAAUCCCUCCCCCUCCGCCA